rnacentral:rRNA from 1 species
UCACUGGUGUUCGGGUUGUCAUGCCAAUGGCACUGCCCGGUAGCUAAAUGCGGAAGAGAUAAGUGCUGAAAGCAUCUAAGCACGAAACUUGCCCCGAGAUGAGUUCUCCCUGAGACUUUAGGUCUCCUGAAGGAACGUUGAAGACGACGACGUUGAUAGGCCGGGUGUGUAAGCGCAGCGAUGCGUUGAGCUAACCGGUACUAAUGAACCGUGAGGCUUAACCUUACAACGCCGAAG